UGGAGCAUGAACAUAUGUUGGUGAUACCACAAAAGAGAAUUGGCGAAUGAUCAUAGUUAGAACAAUUUUCAUUUCAGCCAUGGCUAAACUCUGUCCCACACAUAUUCUAGGGCCUAAACUCCAUGGGAAAAACAUGGCCGAUUGUUUUCGAGCUUCGAUGAAUCUCUGAGGAUUGAAAUCAUCAGCAUCUACACCCCAUAUCCCAGUAUCCCGAUGAGCCUUGCUUAAGGCCAAAAAAAGUUCUGUUCCUGCAGGAAUUUCUAGUUUCCCUAGCUUAAUGUCUUUCCUUGCUUGCCUGGUCAACCCAACAACUGGAGUGUAGAGUCGAAGUGUUUCAUUUAAUAUCAUGCUUAUAAUCUUAAGUUCACCAAGCAUAUCUGCAGUAGGAAGCUCUUUCUCUCCGCAAACUCGAACUACUUCUUCACUGGCUUUGAUUUGCCAAUCUUGAUGCAUUGAUAAAAGGAGAAGUGCCCAAGUCAAAGUAUUAGCGCUUGUUUCUUUUCCUGCAAAAUAAAACGUCAUGCAUUCAUCAACAACUUCCUCAACCUCUAAUUUCUCAUCUUUACCAUCACGAUUCUUGUGAGGACAUGUUAACAGGCUAAGUAAAUUUGUUGAGUUCUCUCCUAUUCUGCUGUUAGUCUCGAUCAAUUCCCGAAUGGAUGCACGAAUUUCCUUCUCCACUCUCCACCUCUCUUUGUUCAUCUUGGUAGGCAAAAACCUGAACCCUGGUAUGUAAACAUUUUGGCGAGCCCGAGAGACAAGACGCAUUUGCUUUUCUUGUAAACUAAAUAUAUGCUUUCCCUCUUCAUAGCUGCUCCCAAAAAUUGUCCUGGAAAUGACAUCCGCUGACAGAUUAUGAAGUUCUUUAUGCACUUCCACUUCGAAUUCGUCUUUUCCUUGUCUUUGUUCUUCCCAAUUUUCCAGCAUUUUCAAUGUACUAGCUACAAUUUUUGGCACCCAUCUCUUAACUUGCUUCAUGUUUAGGGCGAGACUAGUGAUUCUCCUGUGAAGAGCCCAUUUCUCACCAGUAAGCGCAGCAAGUCCGUCUCCCAAGAGCUGCUUAGCUAUGGGUUCUAUACCAGCCUUCUCAAAUAACCCGCUCGUAUCCAUAAGAAUCUCCUUAAUCAAGCCUGCCUCAGCUAUCGCCAAUUUUGGUGUUGUACCAAACCAGUACAGUAACGUCUCCCCAUAAUCGCAAGACCACCUGUGGUGAAAUGGUAGCACUCGAUGGAGGAUGUUGUGAUCAAAUAAUGACAUUCGCCUCGACUGAGCCACUGCCGUCAGGCGGCGCAUCUCUGCCACAUUCCCGAACAUUGGCCGGUAGCCAGGGCCGCGGAUUCCUUGUUUCUGGAAGUGGGCUUGAAUUUUGUAUGGCACCCAUAAUAUUGAGUAAGCAAAUUUCAUAAGAGAUAUAGCAAGAAGUAAGGAUAACAUCACAAGAAAUGAGAGAUACAUGAUGAUCCCCAUGGGUAGGAGAGGCAAGGAUGAAUUUAUUUAUAGGCUAGAAAGAAUCAGUUCCUCUGGAGUUCGGUAAGAUGUACAUCAUGGAGGAGGGAAUAUUAUAUUGCAGGCCAACUGGCCACUGCUUUUAAAACUAUGUAACAGUACAUAUUAAUUAAGUUCUCAUAUGUAGAAGUUGCUUAAAGUUGUUGAUAUGGGAACAUCAAAAGCAUCCCAGCACGGCUUAGCCUUAGAUUCCCUUCCAUAACCAAUCGUUGGGCCAUAUCGCACAAAAAAAUAUGCUGUCCCUUGUCAACCAAGUGCCAGUAGUUUAUUGCCCAUCUUAUUUAUUCAUUUAUUUGAGCAGAUACCUCAGCUUCUCUCGAAAGAAAGGGGAAAUUUUAAAGAUACAUCUGUUGUAUGUAACGGUCGUAUUCUAAAAUUAAACUGGCCACACAAUUAGGAGACUGAAGAAUGCCCCCAAAUAGGUCCUGGAUUUGAUGAGUUAAUAGU
rnacentral:misc_RNA from 1 species